GAUGAAGAACGUAGCGAAAUGCGAUAAGUAAUGCGAAUUGCAGAAUUUCCGUGAGUCAUCGAAUCUUUGAACGCACAUUGCGCCCACUGGUAUUCCGGGGGGCAUGCCUGUUCGAGCGUCAUUUCAACCCUCAAGCUCUGCUUGGUAUUGGGCGUCGCCGGGGAGUCUCCCCGGCGUGCCUCAAAGCCAUCGGCGGUGGUGCCUUUCUCUAAGCGUGGUAGAAUUUUUAUUCGCUUCUGAGUUGGGCUUCGCCUGCCGGACAAACCGGGCCCUCGCGGCCCACCUUCUCAGGUUGACCUCGGAUCAGGUAGGGAUACCCGCUGAACUUAAGCAUAUCAAUAAGCGGAGGA
rnacentral:misc_RNA from 1 species